UUUAUAUACAAGGUAUCCAGAUCAUCGGACAAAAGCUACGCUAGGGAUAACAGGCUUAUCCGCCUUUAGAGUUCCUAUCGAUGGGCGGGUUUGGCACCUCGAUGUUGGAUCAUCGCGUCCUGUGGCUGAAGGAGGUCAUAAGGGUUGGAUUGUUCGUCCAUUAAAGCGGUACGUGAUCUGAGUUCAGAACGCCGUGAGGCAGUUCGGUUUCUAUCUUUGUUAGCGAUAGGCAAGAGCUAAUGCUCGCCAGGAAAAACGGCUAAUAAGUGCGAGUACGAAAGGACCAGACUCUUAUAAACCUCUGGUAAACUUGUUGUCUGUAUAACGGCAUAGCAAGAAAGCUAAGUUUAAAUAAGCUAGAUUUCCUUUAUCAAAUUCUAACUGAUGGGCCUUGCUUAAACAAGCAAGGGAG
rnacentral:rRNA from 1 species